GCCAUGCAUGUCUAAGUACAAACUUUUACACGGUGAAACCGCGAAUGGCUCAUUAAAUCAGUUAUGGUUUAUUAGAUGGUGCUAUCCUACUUGGAUAACUGUGGUAAUUCUAGAGCUAAUACAUGCUACAAAGCUCCGACCCUCGUUGGAAAGAGCGCUUUUAUUAGAUCAAGACCAACCGGUAUUCGCUUUCGGGUGUUGCCGUCGGAUUGAUGACUCUGGAUAACCUUUGCCGAUCGUAUGGCCCCGCGCCGACGACGCAUCUUUCAAAUGUCUGCCCUAUCAACUUUCGUUGGUAGGUGAUUUGCCUACCAAGGUGUUUACGGGUAACGGGGGAUCAGGGUUCGAUCCCGGAGAGGGAGCAUGAGAAACGGCUACCACAUCCAAGGAAGGCAGCAGGCGCGCAAAUUACCCACUCUUGGCACGAGGAGGUAGUGACGAAAAAUAACAAUACGGGACUCUUUCGAGGCCCCGUAAUUGGAAUGAGUACACUCUAAACCCGUUAACGAGGAUCUAUUGGAGGGCAAGUCUGGUGCCAGCAGCCGCGGUAAUUCCAGCUCCAAUAGCGUAUAUUAAAGCUGUUGCAGUUAAAAAGCUCGUAGUCGGAUUUCGGGCGGCGGCCAAUGGUUCGGUUCCGUGCCGAUACUGCUGGUCGCGGCCUCCACGCCGGUCGUCUUUCGGUGCUCUUAGUUGAGUGCCUUAAGUAGCCGGAGCGUUUACUUUGAAAAAAUUAGAGUGUUCAAGGCAGGCCACAAGCCUGAAUGAUGGUGCAUGGAAUAAUGGAAUAGGAUCUCGGUUCUAUUUUGUUGGUCUUCGGAACUGGAGGUAAUGAUUAAUAGGGACGGACGGGGGCAUUCGUAUUGCGGCGUUAGAGGUGAAAUUCUUGGAUCGUCGCAAGACGGACUACUGCGAAAGCAUUUGCCAAGAAUGUUUUCAUUGAUCAAGAGCGAAAGUCAGAGG
rnacentral:rRNA from 1 species